rnacentral:lncRNA from 1 species
AUAUAAAAUUCUCUCAUGCUAACAACUGGCAUACUAUUAAUUUCUCCUGAAGAGCAUAAGAAACUUCUUCUGACAACAUGGGUCAAGUCAGGAACCAUCAGAACCUACAACUCAGAAAGAUAACCAGGUCGCCAAUCAUUUACUCAAAUAUUCCACCAUCCAGUAUUGUAUGGUUGAAUCAGAAAUCGUGCUAAAACAUGUUUUUAACCUGGCACUUCAAAGUAUUCACAUUUUCAACAAUAUGCUUUCAGCAAAUGAAUUGUGUCAUGAAAAUUCCAGCUUAAGUCUAAAUGGAUCAGC